rnacentral:rRNA from 1 species
GAAUUCGCCCUUAGAGUUUGAUCCUGGCUCAGGACGAACGCUGGCGGCGCGCCUAACACAUGCAAGUCGAACGGAGCUUAAAGAGCUUGCUUUUUAAGCUUAGUGGCGAACGGGUGAGUAACGCGUGAGUAACCUGCCCUGGAGUGGGGGACAACAGUUGGAAACGACUGCUAAUACCGCAUAAGCCCACGGAUUCGCAUGGAUCUGCGGGAAAAGGAUUUAUUCGCUUCAGGAUGGACUCGCGUCCAAUUAGCUAGUUGGUGAGGUAACGGCCCACCAAGGCGACGAUUGGUAGCCGGACUGAGAGGUUGAACGGCCACAUUGGGACUGAGACACGGCCCAGACUCCUACGGGAGGCAGCAGUGGGGGAUAUUGCACAAUGGGGAAACCCUGAUGCAGCGACGCCGCGUGGAGGAAGUAGGUUUUCGGAUUGUAAACUCCUGUCGUUAGGGACGAUAAUGACGGUACCUAACAAGAAAGCACCGGCUAACUACGUGCCAGCAGCCGCGGUAAAACGUAGGGUGCAAGCGUUGUCCGGAAUUACUGGGUGUAAAGGGAGCGCAGGCGGACCGGCAAGUUGGAAGUGAAAACUAUGGGCUCAACCCAUAAAUUGCUUUCAAAACUGCUGGCCUUGAGUAGUGCAGAGGUAGGUGGAAUUCCCGGUGUAGCGGUGGAAUGCGUAGAUAUCGGGAGGAACACCAGUGGCGAAGGCGACCUACUGGGCACCAACUGACGCUGAGGCUCGAAAGCAUGGGUAGCAAACAGGAUUAGAUACCCUGGUAGUCCAUGCCGUAAACGAUGAUU